UACAGAGGUGGCAAGCGUUGUUCGGAAUUACUGGGCGUAAAGGGCGCGUAGGCGGCCUUCUAAGUCGGACGUGAAAUCCCUCGGCUUAACCGAGGAACUGCGUCCGAUACUGAAAGGCUUGAAUCCGGGAGAGGGAUGUGGAAUUCCAGGUGUAGCGGUGAAAUGCGUAGAUAUCUGGAGGAACACCGGUGGCGAAGGCGGCAUCCUGGACCGGUAUUGACGCUGAGGCGCGAAAGCUAGGGGAGCAAACGGG
rnacentral:rRNA from 1 species